AUUGAACGCUGGCGGCAUGCUUUACACAUGCAAGUCGAACGGUAACAGGGAGCUUGCUCCGCUGACGAGUGGCGAACGGGUGAGUAAUGCGUCGGAACGUGCCGAGUAGUGGGGGAUAACGCAUCGAAAGGUGUGCUAAUACCGCAUACGUACUGAGGUAGAAAGUGGGGGACCUUCGGGCCUCACGCUAUUCGAGCGGCCGACGUCUGAUUAGCUAGUUGGUGAGGUAAAGGCUCACCAAGGCGACGAUCAGUAGCGGGUCUGAGAGGAUGAUCCGCAACACUGGGACUGAGACACGGCCCAGACUCCUACGGGAGGCAGCAGUGGGGAAUUUUGGACAAUGGGCGCAAGCCUGAUCCAGCCAUGCCGCGUGUCUGAAGAAGGCCUUCGGGUUGUAAAGGACUUUUGUCCGGGAGCAAAUGCUGGUGGCUAACAUCCACCGGAGCUGAGAGUACCGGAAGAAUAAGCACCGGCUAACUACGUGCCAGCAGCCGCCGUAAGAC
rnacentral:rRNA from 1 species